CACUCUUUUUAAUUUUGGUAUGAAUAUAUGAACCCAAGUACAGAUGUUGUUCUGAUAGAUUAUUGUAGGAUUCUGUUUUCUUUAUUGGGUAUAUUAUUCCACUACUUUUGAUGGGUAUAUGAUAGGUUUGGUAGUUUAUUGUGGUAUUUUGUACUUGUGUGUUCGUAAUGGUUGAUUGAAAAUUAGUUUUCCAUCUUCUUAUUAUUGGUUUUCCCCCUUCUUAUUUUGCUUGACUCUACCCCUAAUUGUUGGUAUUUGCUUCAUGUUACUAUGUUAGGACUGAAGAAAAUCGAGACAGGCGCUUGAAAUUUCAGCAUAAAAUGUAACUUGACCGUAUAAUUUUAUUAGUAUUUGUAUUAAAGGUGGAUCCAGCAUAGCAGCAGUAAUUGUACUUCAGACACUUUGUCGAGCUUGAACUAUAUAUUUGUAGACAAAAAGCAUAUGUGUGUAUCUAAAGAACGAAUUUUGUGUCUCUUUCAAAAGGUUAAGGAUUUUAUAAACAGAGCUCAAAGAUUGUGCAAAAGAUUACAUACAAACACAACUCCUUCACACAUUACUGUAGGAAGCUUAGAAGAUCUAAGAUGAAUUUUGUAUUUGUAUCUAUCGCGGAUCUAGCAUAGAGGCAUUGGUUGCACUUGUACACAAACACAUAGUAUUUAGACAUAUAUCCAUAUAUGUUUAUCGGACUCUGCACUUACUGGUUAUAUGGCACAAAAUAAUUGUCAAAAUUACACGGAUUCCUUUGUGUUUAUUCCGCUCAUAUUCUUAACUACUGAUUUCAGUAUAACAACUAAGAAAUUGUCAUGUUAGUUUUCCUGGUCUUUCUUUAUUUUAAUUACAAAUGUGUACGAAAACUUUAUGCAUAGGUUCACACACAGAUGCACUACUACCGACAUUGUCACGGUGAAUUGUAUCUAAACAAAAAGUUGUGUUGAGACUUUGAUGCAGCCAAAGUGCAUAGUUGUGAAAUUUUUAAGAGUACAUAUUUUUUUUUACAUUUUAAUGGGAUUAAAUUGCGAUGACGGACAAAUCUCUGUCUGUUUUCAUGACCAUAUACUGGUAUUUGUUAUAUAAUUCUAAAGCUCGGUUCCAUUGUUUUGACUGCGUUGGCUGAAAUUCUAAAGCUUGGUUCCAUUGUUUUGACUCCCAAAUACUUUCUUGGUGUUUCACAUCACUCACCUUACCUGUAUGCUUGAAACUAAGCAGAUCUUUGCUAUUAACAUGUCCUGUGAGAGUAUAGGAUUAGUACUCAGUUUCUUUGAACAGGGAGAGACUAGCUACUUUUUAUCUUGGGAUGUAAUCCAAGCUUACUCCAUUGUAAAGAUAUUGGAUCUUUCGCCACUAUGAGUAGAACCUAAAGUUAGGAAAUACCAGUCUUCUCAUCGCUUUAUUUCCCUUCUUUACUAUCACAGUGAUGGCUAAUGUUAGUAAUAGCAGCAUUGUCAGUACUCACCUAGGAAUAUAUUAUCAGACAUAUUCAGUAUUCAACAACUUCAGCAGAUUCUCUUGCGAAAUAGAACAUAACUUUUUGUACCCUUUGGGAAAACUGUUCCAUGGAGGUAAGUCCGGACUUGAAAACGUGCCAAUAGAAGCAGAAAUCUAAGUUAAUUGUGAUGACCCGCCACGUCAUCAUGCCACCUAAGUGCCAUUUGGAGCUAUUUUUGCCAUGUGGAUGCUUACAUGGAAAAAAAAAGUCUAGCAUGGGUUGGAUGAUUCUAGAGCUAUGGAGAUUCAUGUGGAGAUGCUCUAGAUAUUUAUGGACUUUCUAGAAGAUUUCUUAGGAAGACCUUAGAACAUUCUAGCCUAGUGGAUAAUUCUAGAGUAGGGACUUCUUUGUAAAUAAGUAGGGACUUAUACAUUAAUUAUUAUUUGCAUACUAGUCCCUAGGUGAGUAGUAUAAAUAGAGGGGCAUCCAUUUGUAAAAAAUCAUCAAGCAAAAUCAAUUAAGUCUUCUAUAAUAAAAAGCUUCCUUCUAGCAAAUUUCUCUUGUCCUAUUCACCUACUAUUCCCUUAGUGAUCUUAAGUGUAGUAAUCUAGGCUGACUUGGCAUAGCAAGAUCGUUAGCAAGUUGUGCAAGAACGUGAGCGAGUUGUCAAGUGUCGCACGUGCGCUUAGUUGAAGACUAAGGACGUGACAUAAUGCAGUAUAUUGACGUAUUUAUCUACAUUCUAAAUGAACCAAAUAAUCAGGACACCCGAAGUGCUCUGGUGCAAAACAUGCUAUUAAGUUAUCCCAUCUUCAGAAUAUUGGAGAAACACUUAUCGAGAAAACUUAUUAUCUCGACAGGAGCUGCAACUUCAGUAAUACAAUGAAAACCCAAGUGCUAGAAAGAAGAGGCACCGUAGGAUAUGAUCAAGAAAACAUAUUGAUUGAUCACUGAACCAAAGAUGUUUGACAACAAAAUUGGAAUUAAGGCAAGGGUAUGAGGAAUCACCAAUAAUUAUAUUACUUACAGAAGUAUCCAAUAAACUAGAACAAACAUAUUGCACCAGCAUAGGCUCACAUUUAUAUACUAACAAUUACUGACCAGAAAGUCAGAGUAUGCUAUUGAAUUUUGUCAAAGGAAGGUUUUUCAGGUGAAGUUGUGACAACAUGGCCUAAAGCUUUGUAACCCUCAGGUGGAAUGGGCAGCCAAAUAUAGCCAAGAUUAGUACUAUUUUUAUUCUUGAAUUUUGAUGACUCACUAUUCCAAAUAGGUAAUAUGGGGAUAGGCAACACUCCUUUGCUUGGGCUAUCAAGUUUUGUACCAUUCUUAUCCAUAGUUUCUCGGGAUUAUAUAAUUCUUAAGAGAUUAUCUGCUUAUGUCCUUGAAAAUUUAGAUUAUCUGCUUAUGUCCUUGAAGAUGUAAUUCGAUCUUAAGAGACUAUUUGCUUAUGUCCUUGAAACAUUUCUUCUUUCUAAUUUUCUUUUGUAUUGGAAACAGGUGCGACUUGAACCAAUUUUUUGUGUCUGAGAGUAGAAAAAUGGAGUGUUUGCAGGGUGUCUGCUUUGCGACUUCACAGACACUCAUCAAAUUUUACUUUUCGGAAUUAGUAAAGAGAAAAUUACAUGUUGAUUGGUGUAAAUUCAGCUGACGUGGCUAACCAAGACAUAUUGGGAUGAUUCGGAAAGCAUUUCAAUGACCUCUUCUGCUUGGAUCAGAGCGUGGUAUUCUGCGUUUGACCAGAAGAUGACGACAAUUACUAUUACUCAUGGUGCUUCCACUUCUUGCACAGUUGCAGCCAUUAAUAUGACCAUCAUCACAACAAUGGAGGACGAUACACAAAGUUUAUGAACUUAGCUGGCCAUAUGGAGUGUACGUUCGUUUGGUUGUUUUGUCUUUGGUAACGGGAGUGUUCCGCUUACAGAGGUUGAGAGUAUUGAUAAAAAUCAUAAAGAGAAGGAAAGAGAAAAGCCUGCCUUACUGGUUGAACUUGUCCUUAAUGAAGACUGCACGGUGAAAAUUGGGCAGAGGUGGUUUCAGAAGUAGAAUACAUAGAGUCUGAGAAUUUGAAUGAUGUAGAAGAUGUUGACACAAGCCUUAAGACACUGUUGACUGGGCUAGAGUCGAAGGACUGGAUUUUAGUGUGUGAGACUCUCAAUGAUAGAUAGGAGCAUGUCUUGAAAAAUACGUGUGACCUGAUUGUGCCUUUUGGUCUUUGCACAGGUAUUGAUCUUUCUUCAACUAAAGCAAAAGCAGCAAGCAGAAGACAUUGUAAAUUAGGCUUGAUGGAAAAAUAUAUUUUGGCAUGCUCCUUCCAUUUAAAGUUGAAUUGCUAUCAGUUGAUUAAUUUUACUAUGCUUCCUUUUGUUUUCUGCUUGUAUAUAUAAUAAUUUUCAUUAUAUAUAAGUGCGGUGGGGGUACGAACACAGCUGCCCCCACUUGUACAAUGAGCUUCACAAAUUGUACACGCAAUGAAUGCUUGUAUCAUGAGCUAUAUAACUUGUACACUUUAUCAAACUAUUUUUAUAUCCCACGUA